GGGCUUGUGGCGCAAUUGGACAACGCACCUGAUUCCGAAUCAGAAGAUUGCAGGUUCGAAUCCUGUCAGGCCCACCA
rnacentral:tRNA from 1 species